UACAGAGGUCUCAACCGUUGUUCGGAUUCAUUGGGCGUAAAGGGUGCGUAGGCGGUCGUGCAAGUCGGAUGUGAAAUCUCAGGGCUCAACCCUGAAACUGCAUUCGAUACUGCGUGGCUAGAGUGCUGGAGAGGAGACUGGAAUUUACGGUGUAGCAGUGAAAUGCGUAGAUAUCGUAAGGAAGACCAGUGGCGAAGGCGAGUCUCUGGACAGCAACUGACGCUGAGGCACGAAAGCCGGGGGAGCAAACAGG
rnacentral:rRNA from 1 species